AUUGAACGCUGGCGGCAUGCCUUACACAUGCAAGUCGAACGGCAGCACGGGUGCUUGCACCUGGGGGCGAGUGGCGAACGGGUGAGUAAUAUAUCGGAACGUACCUUAUUGUGGGGGAUAACGCAGCGAAAGCUGUGCUAAUACCGCAUAAUCCCUAAGGGGGAAAGCGGGGGACCGUAAGGCCUCGCGCAAUUAGAGCGGCCGAUACCUGAUUAGCUAGUUGGUGAGGUAAAGGCCCACCAAGGCAACGAUCAGUAGCUGGUCUGAGAGGACGAUCAGCCACACUGGGACUGAGACACGGCCCAGACUCCUACGGGAGGCAGCAGUGGGGAAUUUUGGACAAUGGGGGCAACCCUGAUCCAGCAAUGCCGCGUGAGUGAAGAAGGCCUUCGGGUUGUAAAGCUCUUUUGUCAGGGAAGAAACAGCAGCUCUAACACAGUUUGCGAAUGACGGUACCUGAAGAAUAAGCACCGGCUAACUACGUGCCAGCCGCCGCCGUAA
rnacentral:rRNA from 1 species